AGAUGUAACGGGGCUAAACCAUGCACCGAAGCUGCGGCAGCGACGUUUAUGCGUUGUUGGGUAGGGGAGCGUUCUGUAAGCCUGCGAAGGUGGCCUGUGAGGGUUGCUGGAGGUAUCAGAAGUGCGAAUGCUGACAUAAGUAACGAUAAAGCGGGUGAAAAGCCCGCUCGCCGGAAGACCAAGGGUUCCUGUCCAACGUUAAUCGGGGCAGGGUGAGUCGACCCCUAAGGCGAGGCCGAAAGGCGUAGUCGAUGGGAAACGGGUUAAUAUUCCCGUACUUGGUGUUACUGCGAAGGGGGGACGGAGAAGGCUAUGUUGGCCGGGCGACGGUUGUCCCGGUUUAAGCGUGUAGGUGUGUGUUCCAGGUAAAUCCGGUUCACUUUAACACUGAGGCGUGAUGACGAGGCACUACGGUGCUGAAGCAACAAAUGCCCUGCUUCCAGGAAAAGCCUCUAAGCAUCAGGUAACACGAAAUCGUACCCCAAACCGACACAGGUGGUCAGGUAGAGAAUACCAAGGCGCUUGAGAGAACUCGGGUGAAGGAACUAGGCAAAAUGGUGCCGUAACUUCGGGAGAAGGCACGCUGACACGUAGGUGAAGUGAUUUACUCAUGGAGCUGAAGUCAGUCGAAGAUACCAGCUGGCUGCAACUGUUUAUUAAAAACACAGCACUGUGCAAACACGAAAGUGGACGUAUACGGUGUGACGCCUGCCCGGUGCCGGAAGGUUAAUUGAUGGGGUCAGCGCAAGCGAAGCUCCUGAUCGAAGCCCCGGUAAACGGCGGCCGUAACUAUAACGGUCCUAAGGUAGCGAAAUUCCUUGUCGGGUAAGUUCCGACCUGCACGAAUGGCGUAAUGAUGGCCAGGCUGUCUCCACCCGAGACUCAGUGAAAUUGAACUCGCUGUGAAGAUGCAGUGUACCCGCGGCAAGACGGAAAGACCCCGUGAACCUUUACUAUAGCUUGACACUGAACAUUGAGCCUUGAUGUGUAGGAUAGGUGGGAGGCUUUGAAGUGUGGACGCCAGUCUGCAUGGAGCCGACCUUGAAAUACCACCCUUUAAUGUUUGAUGUUCUAACGUGGACCCGUUACCCGGGUUGCGGACAGUGUCUGGUGGGUAGUUUGACUGGGGCGGUCUCCUCCUAAAGAGUAACGGAGGAGCACGAAGGUUGGCUAAUCCUGGUCGGACAUCAGGAGGUUAGUGCAAUGGCAUAAGCCAGCUUGACUGCGAGCGUGACGGCGCGAGCAGGUGCGAAAGCAGGUCAUAGUGAUCCGGUGGUUCUGAAUGGAAGGGCCAUCGCUCAACGGAUAAAAGGUACUCCGGGGAUAACAGGCUGAUACCGCCCAAGAGUUCAUAUCGACGGCGGUGUUUGGCACCUCGAUGUCGGCUCAUCACAUCCUGGGGCUGAAGUAGGUCCCAAGGGUAUGGCUGUUCGCCAUUUAAAGUGGUACGCGAGCUGGGUUUAGAACGUCGUGAGACAGUUCGGUCCCUAUCUGCCGUGGGCGCUGGAGAACUGAGGGGGGCUGCUCCUAGUACGAGAGGACCGGAGUGGACGCAUCACUGGUGUUCGGGUUGUCAUGCCAAUGGCACUGCCCGGUAGCUAAAUGCGGAAGAGAUAAGUGCUGAAAGCAUCUAAGCACGAAACUUGCCCCGAGAUGAGUUCUCCCUGAGACUUAGAGUCUCCUGAAGGAACGUUGAAGACGACGACGUUGAUAGGCCGGGUGUGUAAGCGCAGCGAUGCGU
rnacentral:rRNA from 1 species